CUUUCACGUGACCUCUGGCCUGGAUUUAAAAUUUUUACCGGUAUUUCCGAGUGCACGGCGGCACGGAUUCAUUCGUUCGUACACUCAAGACUGGUUGCUUCUUUGUUUCUAAAACUAGUUUCUUGCGCUUCUAUGUAACUUGGGGUGAAGUUACGUGUUUGCAAGCGGACAUGUAAGCCCGGCAGUUGGGUUUCGGUCGUGAGCCAUUCGGAACAGGUCUGCAUCGAAACGGGAGCUGGAUUUUGCUGCGGCUGACAACGGCAAUAACGACAUGCAGUAAUGAGGACGGCACCAGUAUAAAGCAACACACUCCACGCACUAAACAGAAGCUGCUGCCUGCUACGACAAGGUCAUUGUGUGGACAUUGGCUACUACUACAAGAGUCUAUGCCAAGCACAUCUUGGUCAUCACAGGAGCUCCUAUCUGCACCAACAGGAAGGGGCUGGAGCCGAAUUUGCAAGGCUUUUACACCAAGAACAAAGAAGCACAUGCACAAGAAUAUGGAUGAGAUAUCAAGUCUGCAAAGGACUGUGUUAAGACUGCAAAGAGCUUCAGCCACCAUUCCACCAGCACGGACAUUUGGCUGAGUCAUCCAAGUAACUCAAAAAGGACUUUCUAGAAAUUCUUCGUCUUCAGAUGCACCUGCAACAUCUGACCAAGCACGGACGACGCUGGCCAAAAGAUUGAGUUUCAUCAGUUCGUCCUUAAUCAGCUUCCAAGCCAUGUUAAUUCCGUUUGUGCGAAGUGUAAUUUUUCUUCUAUAAAUGCAAGCUUUCUCAUUGCCCAUUUUUGUUAGAGGUUAUUCAUCCUCAUCCAAAUAUAAAGGUCAACCUUUAUAUUUGGAUAUUUCGCUGAUACUUAAUACCAGUCACUGUCUAGCAGCCUAACAUAUCUGUAGCAGUAUCUUCUAGUGUAUGUUGUCAUGCGCAAUUACUCUCCUGAAAUAGCUGAUGCAGCAUCGGCAUGCGUCUUGCAUUAACCUAUGCACAUGUGCUAUGCACCAUUUUACUUUUCUUGGUGUUUUUAGCCUUCAAUGCUUGCAGAGCAGAGUGGCUUCUCUCUUGAAUGCAAGCUUUCUCAUUUUCCAUAUUCCUAGUCUCGUUGAUGAUUGCUCCUCUUCCUUGAUAGCCUGGGUCUUUGUGCAAGCUACAGUGAAGUGAUUGAUUGCAGAAUCUGGUUUUGCUGCCACACUUGGUUGUGGUAACUGUGUUACAGAUGUGGGGGCCUGGUCAGUUGCAUUGGUAAGCAGUCCCUCGAGGUAAGCAUUUGCUCCUGCAGUCCGCAAAGCGACAUAGACUCCCAGUAUACACACACCGUAACUGGUGCGCCCCGUUCGUUCUGGCCUGCUGCAGCCAUGGGCAAAUUGUGCUUGUGGCCUACCUCGGCCAUGAUUUGCUCAAAACGGAGACCAGCAUAUGUGCUUACAUGGUUCGAAGUGUAUGAAGUUGAUAGCCGUAUGGGUGGAAAGGCCCGCAAGAAUGGCUGCCGAAGGUGAUGCCCACAAAAGCGACUUGUCCACAUUGCGACAAAGUGGGACACAAAGUGUGAGCCACACAUAGCGGCCCCCGAAAGAAAAUAAAUGUGCAGGUUGGAAAGGAGUUAACGCUAAAAUGCCGGGUAGUCCAUGUCGCUGUGUUGGUUGCGGCAGCAGAUGCCUGCGUCACCUGAUUGCUUCGCAAUGGAAGUUGCUCAUCUUCAACGGCAACUGUUGGUUCAAACAGGUGCAAGGCUCUGUCCAAUCUGUUUGUACCGCAGGUUGUCGCUCGUUACCAGACCACCACAUGUGACAAAGGCAAGCAUUAUGCCUGUAAGAUGGUUCGUAGCCAAUGUAUAAUGUAUUGUCAACCUCAAGCGGUGACUGAUUGCCGUUUAAUUUUGCUGUUAUGUCACUUGGUUACGGUCGCAGUUUUAUGUUUUUCGAAUAUUGCUGCCUGGUCGGUUGCACUGGGAAGCAGCCUCUCGAAGUAAGAAUUUGAUCCUGCAGUCUGCACAGCGACAUAGACUCCCAAUUUACGCACACCGUGAUUCGUGCUCCCCGUUCACCCUUUCCUGCUGCAGCCAUGGGCAAAUUGUGCCUCUGGCCUUUCUCGGCCGCGAUUAGGCAUGAACGGAGACCAGCAUAAGUGCUUACAUGGUCGGACGUGUAUGAAGUUGGGUGGAAAGGCCCGCAAAAGUGGCCGAUGAAGGUGAUGCCCACGAAAGCGACUUGUCCAUAUUGAGACAAUGUGGGACACCAAGUGUGAGCCACACAUUAGCGGCCUCCAAAAGAAAAGAAACAUGCAGGCUGGAAAGGAGUCAAUGCUAAAAUGAUGGGUAGUCCAUGUCGCUGUGUAGGCUGCGGCAGCAGAUGCCUGCGUCACCCGACUGCUUUGCACUGCAAGUUGCUCAUCUUUAACAGCGACUGUCGCCGCAAACAGGUGGGACACUCUGUCCAAUCUGUUUCUGCUGCUGGUUGUUGCUCGUUAGUAGACCACCACGUGCGACGAAGUCGGGCACUACGCCUGUAGGUAGGCAGCUCAAUGUACCCUAAGAGACCCGUGUAUGUGAAUGCUCACUGUUGCCAUAUGGUUCGUCGCCAAUGUAUGAUGUAUUGUCUGAACCUCAUGCGGUGACUGAUUGCUGUUUAAUUUUGCUGUUAUGUCACUUGAUUAUGGUCGCAGUGUUAUGUUUUUCGAAUAUUGCGGCCUGGUCGGUUGAACUGGGAAGCAGCCUCUCGAAGUAAGAAUUUGAUCCUGCAGUCUGCACAGCGACAUAGACUCCCAAUUUACGCACACCGUGAUUCGUGCUCCCCAUUCACCCUUUCCUGCUGCAGCCAUGGGCAAAUUGUGCCUCUGGCCUUUCUCGGCCGCGAUUAGGCAUGAACGGAGACCAGCAUAAGUGCUUACAUGGUCGGACCUGUAUGAAGUUGGGUGGAAAGGCCCGCAAAAGUGGCUGAUGAAGGUGAUGCCCACGAAAGCGACUUGUCCAUAUUGAGACAAUGUGGGACACCAAGUGUGAGCCACACAUUAGCGGCCUCCAAAAGAAAGAAACAUGCAGGCUGGAAAGGUGUCAAUGCUAAAAUGAUGGGUAGUCCAUGUCACUGUGUAGGCUGCGGCAGCAGAUGCCUGCGUCACCCGACUGCUUUGCACUGCAAAUUGCUCAUCUUUAACAGCGACUGUCGCCGCAAACAGGUGGGACACUCUGUCCAAUCUGUUUCUGCUGCUGGUUGUUGCUCGUUAGUAGACCACCACGUGCGACGAAGUCGGGCACUACGCCUGUAGGUAGGCAGCUCAAUGUACCCUAAGAGACCCGUGUAUGUGAAUGCUCACUGUUGCCAUAUAGUUCGUCGCCAAUGUAUAACGUAUUGUCUGAACCUCAUGCGGUGACUGAUUGCUGUUUAAUUUUGCUGUUAUGUCACUUGGUUAUGGUCGCAGUGUUAUGUUUUUAGAAUAUUGCGGCCUGGUCGGUUGCACUGGGAAGCAGUCUCUCGAAGUAAGCAUUCGCUCCUGCAGCCUGCACAGCGACAUAGACUCCCAAUUUUCAUGCACCGUGAUUCGUGCUCCCCGUUCGCGCUUUCCUGCUGCAGCAAUGGGCAUAUUGUGCCUCUGGCCUUUCUCGGCCGCGAUUAGGCAUGAACGGAGACCAGCAUACGUGCUUACAUAGUCCGAUGCGUAUGAAGUUGAUAGCUACAUGGGUGGAAAGGCCCGCAAAAGUAGCUGAUGGAGGCGAUGCCCACGAAAGCGACUUGUCCAUAGCGAGACAAUGUGAGACACCAAGUGUGAGCCACACAUUAGCGGCCCCCGAAAGAAAAGAAACGUGCAGGUUGGAAAGGAGUGAACGGCUAAAAUCUGGGGUAGCCCAUGUCGCUGUGUAGGCUGCGGCAGCAGAUGCCUGCGUCUCCCGAUUGCUUCGCAAUGCAAUUUGGGCAUUUUUAACGGCGACUGUCGCUGCAAAUAAGUGGCACACUCUGUCCAAUAUGUUUCCGCUGCUGGUUCUUGCUCGUUAACCUGACCACCACGUGCGACGACGACGGUGAGCCGUUUACGAGCUCGCGUCAAUGAUUCCAGCGUAUCUCGACAUGCAAAUUUUAUUUCUGCUAUUGCACGAGGAUGUACACUGCUUGUCUUCUGCCAAUAAAGUCGCGCGUUCUGUUCACUCACUUGUGGCUUGUUUGUAUGGGCGUCAGUAGAGGCUCUUGGCAAUUAGAACGCACCAGCUGAGCGGCAGCGAAGGCAUUGAGGCAUGCCGCAUAGCCUGCAGGGCAAGCACGGCACGUACCAGCGUACGCGACCGGCAAAAAACGGCCAUAUUGAAUUUUGCGCUAAAAAAAAAAGUUUGCACUUCCGCUUCCUGAUUGAGCAACGUCAUCUGGCGUCCCCGAAAGUUAGUUCCAUGCGCUGCCGCUGCUUAUUUUCGAACCACUGCCAAAGGUACAGUUUCCCUUCUCUAAAGUUGUUCUUUAUUCUAUGCGCAGACGCGGCUACGUGAAACUGGCGUAACUGUGUGCUGGCGCGGUCGCGAGCCGAGGGUGACGCGACUUUCCGUCCCAUCCAUCGAAGCGCCGUCUCCGCCCUGCCGAAUCGCGAUCUACGCUGGUGCGACAAUUUACGCUGCGAGGAUCGCUGGGCGAAACCCAUGCCGACAACCGAUUGAUAGGAAUCGGGAUCUACGCCGGUGCGACAGUUUACGCUGCGAGGAUCGCUGGGCGAAAACCAUGCUGACAAGAUCGGAACCUGUGAGAUGGAGUCGUAUUCCACCACUACUACUAAUGAUACGCAGCGCGAUGCCCUCAAGAGGAAACAAAACGCCCUUGCGAUUACUGUGCUGCUCACGUCCUGUUAAUGCAAUUCGGCAUACAUCGACACGGCGUGCAAGCACUGAAUAGUGUUUUAACGUAUGUGCGCUGGCACAAAACGUUAUAAACAGUCCCGAAAGAGCCUAUAUUGCAUUGGAUGUUAAAGUUCACCCUAGAUAUCAAUAAAUGUUGCAGGUAUGUGCCAAUUUCUUCACCUAAUUGCAGAGAACUCUCUCGGGCCGUUAUUGCAUUUUUAUGGCUUCCUCCAUGUCCCAAUAUGCUGAAUUUCAAGUACAUUGAAGUUGUUGCAGAUGCGAAAUGCCACUUUUAUGAUGUAUUUGGUUCGCCUGUUAAAUAUAGUUUAAAAAGUUCUGUUCAAAAAGAAAUUCCCAUCUUUUUGCAACUGGGAUAAACAAUGUUAGAGGUGGAAAGCUGUAUAAGUGAAAACUAAUACUUUAAUUUACUAGCACUGCUUUAAGUGAAUUUCUAAAGCACAGCAAUUUUGCUUGCCUUUUUCUGUUUUAUAAAUUAAAAUGUACAUCUUUGAAAGGCAGCCUGACCCUCUUUAAAUUCGAAAUAUUGGGCACAGACUGGGAACACUGCUUUCCAAUACACUUGCUGAAACUGCCUUAUCAGAACACCCUAGUACACAAUGCAGAUCCAUUAAGAAGUGACAAGACAGUUUGACAAUUUUCAUCAUUGAAAGACUUAGCGAAACCUUUUUUGGGUUGUUUUUCCUUGCUUUCAGACACUGCACAUUGCCCUUUAAGGCAUGUUUUCAGUGUUUCUUUUUUUAUGGGGAAGGCGUGUUAACAUCUUUUACACCAUGUCAAUUAUGUUGUGCCGUAAUGUGUUCUUGGAUGGAGUCUUGCCCUUUCAUUCAGUACAAUAUAAUGUAGUUUAUUGUGUCAUAGGCCAUUAUACAUUUGAGUAUGAGUGUAGCAUUUUGCUAAGUUUUGCCUCUGUCACCCAAGCUUGCAAGUUUGCUACCCACUGCUGGUGACGUGUGACACAUGUGACUUUUGUUCAAUAAAAGGAAGUCUAUCACUUA